rnacentral:rRNA from 1 species
UACAGAGGUGGCGAGCGUUAUUCGGAAUUAUUGGGCGUAAAGAGCUCGUAGGCGGCUUGUCGCGUCGACUGUGAAAACUCACGGCUCAACCGUGGAACUGCAGUCGAUACGGGCAGGCUAGAGUUCGGUAGGGGAGACUGGAAUUCCUGGUGUAGCGGUGAAAUGCGCAGAUAUCAGGAGGAACACCGGUGGCGAAGGCGGGUCUCUGGGCCGAAACUGACGCUGAGGAGCGAAAGCGUGGGGAGCGAACAGG